rnacentral:tRNA from 1 species
GCCUUCAUGGUGUAGUGGUCAGCACGCUCGACGCGUAACCGAGAGGUCCGUGGUUCGAUUCCCGGCGAGGGUG